GGCUCAGAACGAACGCUGGCGGCAGGCUUAACACAUGCAAGUCGAGCGCGUGUAGCAAUACACGAGCGGCGCACGGGUGAGUAACGCGUGGAUAUCUGCCUUUUGGUUCGGAAUAACCCCGGGAAACUGGGGCUAAUACCGAAUGGUUCCUACGGGAUAAAGAUUUAUCGCCAAAAGAUGAGUCCGCGUCCGAUUAGCUAGUUGGUGAGGUAACGGCUCACCAAGGCGACGAUCGGUAGCUGGUCUGAGAGGACGAUCAGCCACACUGGGACUGAGACACGGCCCAGACUCCUACGGGAGGCAGCAGUGGG
rnacentral:rRNA from 1 species